rnacentral:rRNA from 1 species
UACGAAGGGUGCAAGCGUUGUUCGGAAUUACUGGGCGUAAAGGGCGCGUAGGCGGUGCACUAAGUCAGGCGUGAAAGCCCUGGGCUCAACCCGGGAAUUGCGCUUGAUACUGGUGCGCUUGAAUCCAGGAGAGGUUGGUGGAAUUCCCAGUGUAGAGGUGAAAUUCGUAGAGAUUGGGAAGAACACCGGUGGCGAAGGCGGCCAACUGGACUGGUAUUGACGCUGAGGCGCGAAAGCGUGGGGAGCAAACAGG